rnacentral:misc_RNA from 1 species
CGCAUGAGCAAGAGGACGAUUACUAUCCUCCCGUCAACACAGGGCACAACAAGCUUCCACAAGGGACAAUUGAUUCGGGCAAAAAGGGACAAAGUCCCUGACCGAUCAUUGCUUUCUACAUACAAGACUUCGGGCAACACUUGGGCAUCCAAUGCCUACAAGCUAAAUAAGCAAAGCAACGGUGGACAUCCAUAGGUGCUUCAGGGCCUAAGUCGCACAAAACAUUCUAGCACGAGUUAGAGCAGGAAUCGUGNGACUGGUGAAUUCCGUCAAAAUAGGUAUGCUACACAGGGGGCCAAAAGCCAAUCCAAGGUAAAAGAUUUACACUCGAACAGAAUUGAACAGGUGUGAACCAACGAUUGUCGCUGCCAGGGCAGGGAACCAACCAACCGGAACAUACC